UACGUAGGGGGCAAGCGUUGUCCGGAAUUAUUGGGCGUAAAGCGCGCGCAGGCGGUUCUUUAAGUCUGAUGUGAAAGCCCACGGCUCAACCGUGGAGGGUCAUUGGAAACUGGGGGACUUGAGUGCAGAAGAGGAAAGCGGAAUUCCACGUGUAGCGGUGAAAUGCGUAGAGAUGUGGAGGAACACCAGUGGCGAAGGCGGCUUUCUGGUCCGGUUCUGACGCUGAGGCGCGAAAGCGUGGGGAGCAAACAGG
rnacentral:rRNA from 1 species